CGGGUGAGAAUCCCGUACGCCGAAAACCCAAGGUUUCCUGUGGAAGGAUUAUCCGCGCAGGGUUAGUCGGAACCUAAGCCGAGGCUGAAGAGCGGAGGCGAUGGCAAACAGGUUAAUAUUCCUGUACCACUGUUUAGCGUUUGAGCGAUGGGGGGACGCAGGAGGGUAUGCAUACCGGGCGUUGGUUGUCCCGGGUUAAGCCUGUAGGGAGAAGGUCUAGGCAAAUCCGGAUCUUUGUUAAUCCUGAGAGGUGAUGACGAGCCCGCAUGGGCGAAGUUGCAAAUCCCACACUGACAAGAAAAGCCUCUAGUGAGCUAAAUAGUGUCCGUACUCUAAACCGACGCAGGUGGGUGGGAUGAAAAUUCUAAGGCGUUGAGUGAAACCUCGUUAAGGAACUCGGCAACUUAACACCGUAACUUCGGGAGAAGGUGUGCCCUCUCGGGUCAUGGGCCUUGCGUCCGCAGCCUGGGAGGGUCGCAGAGAAGUGGCCGCAGCGACUGUUUACUAAAAACACAGGACUCUGCUAAAUCGCAAGAUGACGUAUAGGGUCUGAUGCCUGCCCGGUGCCGGGAGGUUAAGGGGAAGUGUUAUUCAACUCGUUGGAGAAGCACCGAACCGAAGCCCCGGUAAACGGCGGCCGUAACAAUAACGGUCCUAAGGUAGCGAGAUUCCUGUCGGGUAAGUUCCGACCUGCACGAAUGGCAUAACGAUUGCGGCGGUGUCUCAACGAGGGGCUCAGUGAAAUUGCAGUGCCAGUGAAGAUACUGGCAACCCGCGGAAGGACGGGAAGACCCCGUGCACCUUUACUACAACUUGACAUUGUAUUCUGGGUAGGUCUGUGUAGGAUAGGUGGGAGGCUGUGAAGCCGGGACGCUAGUUUCGGUGGAGCCAACCUUGAAAUACCACCCUGAUCUGCUUGGGCUACUAACCUGCACCCGUAAUCCGGGUGGGGGACAGUGUCUGGUGGGUAGUUUGACUGGGGCGGUCGCCUCCUAAAGAGUAACGGAGGCGCGCGAAGGUUCCCUCAGGCUGAUCGGAAACCAGCCGGCGAGUGCAAAGGCAUAAGGGAGCUUGACUGCGAGACAGACAUGUCGAGCAGGUGCGAAAGCAGGUCUUAGUGAUCCGGUGGCGCCGAAUGGAAGGGCCAUCGCUCAACGGAUAAAAGGUACGCCGGGGAUAACAGGCUGAUCUCCCCCAAGAGUUCACAUCGACGGGGAGGUUUGGCACCUCGAUGUCGGCUCAUCGCAUCCUGGGGCUGGAGCAGGUCCCAAGGGUAUGGCUGUUCGCCAUUUAAAGCGGUACGCGAGCUGGGUUUAGAACGUCGUGAGACAGUUCGGUCCCUAUCCUCCGUGGGCGGAGGAGAUUUGAGGGAAGCUGCCCCUAGUACGAGAGGACCGGGGUGGCCGGACCAAUGGUGCUCCUGUUGUCGCGCCAGCGGCAUAGCAGGGUAGCUAAGUCCGGAACGGAUAACCGCUGAAAGCAUCUAAGUGGGAAGCCGCUCCCAAGAUAAGAUCUCCCUUCGUUCUCGUAACGACUGAAGGCCACACGUAGACUACGUGUUUGAUAGGCUGGGUGUGUAAGCGCAGUAAUGUGUUGAGCUAACCAGUACUAAUCGGCCGUGAGGCUUGACUCA
rnacentral:rRNA from 1 species